rnacentral:rRNA from 1 species
CCCUUGAGAGCGGCGGACGGGUGAGUAAUGCCUAGGAAUCUGCCUAGUGGUGGGGGAUAACGUUCGGAAACGGACGCUAAUACCGCAUACGUCCUACGGGAGAAAGCGGGGGACCUUCAGGCCUCGCGCCAUUAGAUGAGCCUAGGUCGGAUUAGCUAGUUGGUGAGGUAACGGCUCACCAAGGCGACGAUCCGUAACUGGUCUGAGAGGAUGAUCAGUCACACUGGAACUGAGACACGGUCCAGACUCCUACGGGAGGCAGCAGUGGGGAAUAUUGGACAAUGGGCGAAAGCCUGAUCCAGCCAUGCCGCGUGUGUGAAGAAGGUCUUCGGAUUGUAAAGCACUUUAAGUUGGGAGGAAGGGUAGUAACUUAAUACGUUGCUAUUUUGACGUUACCGACAGAAUAAGCACCGGCUAACUCUGUGCCAGCAGCCGCGGUAAUACAGAGGGUGCAAGCGUUAAUCGGAAUUACUGGGCGUAAAGCGCGCGUAGGUGGUUUGUUAAGUUGGAUGUGAAAGCCCCGGGCUCAACCUGGGA